GGAGCAGCUUCUGGAGAGAUCGCAAGAAUUUUGCGGCGCCGAAGGGUUCACAAUCUCAGGCAAAAGGACAGAAGAGUACUG
rfam:Bacillus shackletonii strain LMG 18435 super19, whole genome shotgun sequence.